AAUCAAAAUAAACGUCAAUAUCCGGGCAUAUCUCAUACAAACAUACACACACAUAAGUAAUAGUCGCUUACCUGUUUCAUGCCGCCAUUUGUACCAUUAACUCCAGACGAGCUAGCUCGUUCAGAAACGACGCUUGUUGAGUGAGACAGGAUUGGGUGAACGGAUUUCGAGUUUUCUCCUUCCAUGGAAAAAAAUUACCAAUACCUUAAACGAUGCAAAUUACCCGGUUUAUCGUUUUUCAAAUGAUCUGC